rnacentral:rRNA from 1 species
GAUGAACGCUGGCGGCGUUCCUAAUACAUGCAAGUCGAGCGAACAGACGAGGAGCUUGCUCCUCUGACGUUAGCGGCGGACGGGUGAGUAACACGUGGAUAACCUACCUAUAAGACUGGGAUAACUUCGGGAAACCGGAGCUAAUACCGGAUAAUAUAUUGAACCGCAUGGUUCAAUAGUGAAAGACGGUUUUGCUGUCACUUAUAGAUGGAUCCGCGCCGCAUUAGCUAGUUGGUAAGGUAACGGCUUACCAAGGCAACGAUGCGUAGCCGACCUGAGAGGGUGAUCGGCCACACUGGAACUGAGACACGGUCCAGACUCCUACGGGAGGCAGCAGUAGGGAAUCUUCCGCAAUGGGCGAAAGCCUGACUGAGCAACGCCGCGUGAGUGAUGAAGGUCUUCGGAUCGUAAAACUCUGUUAUUAGGGAAGAACAAAUGUGUAAGUAACUAUGCACGUCUUGACGGUACCUAAUCAGAAAGCCACGGCUAACUACGUG